AAAAAAAGACAAAAGGAAAAAAAGGAAGAUGUAUUGUGAUUCUGUACUGUAGGAUGUUUUUUGGUUUGGUUUAAUUUGAU
rnacentral:ribozyme from 1 species